AAAAUUAUGAGAAGCUUUCAGCAAUAUUAAAAAUAUUUAUUUUCGACCAAAUAUGGAAAAUACUGAUAUGUAAUAAAUUACGGUUAUUGAAUUUAAUAAAAAGCAAAAUCAAAGCCAGGGAACUAUCUUAAGGGGAUAUACCAGCUUUUGCUUUUGCUAUUGCUUUUUCGAUAGAAUAUAUUUCCGUAAAUGUCCUGUGAAAUCGGGAAGAUCGUAUCUGGAAUAGUUUUCGGAUGGCAGCGUUCUAAAGAGCGACCGCUCGGAGUUGCAAACAUAUAUAUAUGAAACAAUUUUCAUUGUUGAAGAAGUUUUCAAUAAACAAAAUUACAAAAUCUAGGCAAUAACUUCGAAAGACGAAAAAAAUUUAUACCAAGGUGCGAAGAGAAGUCUUCAUCAAGGUGGUACACCUCUGCACUUCUGUGGAAAAUUGUUUAAAAUUGGGUUAAAAGUGUACCAACUGGCUGCUUUAAAAGUCAUGGUAAAAUAAUUAGCAAUACUCUUUGCAAUGGAGAGCAAAGGGAUCUUCAAGCAAGAUUCUGUUCCAUGACACAAGUUAAAAACUACCCAGGGGUGACUUGAAUGAUAUAGUUCUGGUUUCAUAGCUAACUGAUUGAUAGUCUGGAAGUCCUAAUUUGUGGCCCGAGUUGGAGAACAUGGUCUUUCGAAUACCCCAAAGAAAUCUGUAGUUUCAAGAAAUUUUUGGAUCGAAGAAUGUUUUUAUAUGGUUAUUAUUAAAGCAUAUAGAUAGCAUGCACUUAUAUCAGAACUUAUGGCAGGACUACUUGUACAUACUGUAUAGGAUAUCCGACCCCAUAUUCUAAAUGCAAUAUAUUAAAAAAAAUAUAUAUAUUUUUUGUUGUGUA
rnacentral:lncRNA from 1 species